rnacentral:rRNA from 1 species
AUACGGAGGGUCCAAGCGUUAUCCGGAUUCAUUGGGUUUAAAGGGUCCGCAGGCGGGAAAAUAAGUCAGUGGUGAAAGCCUACAGCUCAACUGUAGAACUGCCAUUGAUACUGUUUUUCUUGAGUAUAGAUGAAGUGGGCGGAAUAUAUCAUGUAGCGGUGAAGUGCAUAGAUAUGAUAUAGAACACCGAUUGCGAAGGCAGCUCACUAAACUAUUACUGACGCUCAGGGACGAAAGCGUGGGGAGCGAACAGGAUUAGAUACCCUAGUAGUCC